rnacentral:rRNA from 1 species
GUGAGGAAUAUUGGACAAUGGGCGCAAGCCUGAUCCAGCCAUGCCGCGUGCAGGAAGACGCAUCUAUGGUGUGUAAACUGCUUUUGUACGGGAAGAAACACUCCCUCGUGAGGGAGCUUGACGGUACCGUAAGAAUAAGGAUCGGCUAACUCCGUGCCAGCAGCCGCGGUAAUACGGAGGAUCCAAGCGUUAUCCGGAAUCAUUGGGUUUAAAGGGUCCGUAGGCGGUUUAAUAAGUCAGUGGUGAAAGACCAUCGCUCAACGAUGGAACGGCCAUUGAUACUGUUAGACUUGAAUUACAAGGAAGUAACUAGAAUAUGUAGUGUAGCGGUGAAAUGCUUAGAUAUUACAUGGAAUACCAAUUGCGAAGGCAGGUUACUACUUGUGGAUUGACGCUGAUGGACGAAAGCGUGGGGAGCGAACAGGAUUAGAAACCCGUGUAGUCC